UCAAGCGCGAAAAGGGCGUUUGGUGGAUGCCUAGGCAGCAAGAGGCGAUGAAGGACGUGGUACCCUGCGUUAAGCCAUGGGGAGCCGGGAACAGGCUUUGAUCCAUGGAUGUCCGAAUGGGGGAACCCACCUGACAGUUCGUUAUAAUUACUUCGGUAGCUUAUAAUGGGCUGAGACAGGUACUUAUCCCUGAAUACAUAGGGGAAUAAGAGCAAACCCGGGGAACUGAAACAUCUAAGUACCCGGAGGAAAGGAAAUCAAUAGAGACUCCGCUAGUAGUGGCGAGCGAACGCGGACCAGCCGAGCCUGGAAGAGUGACUGGAACUGUCUGGAAAGGCAGGCCAUAGCGGGUGACAGCCCCGUACAGGAAGCUCCACGGGACAUAUCAAGUAGGGCGGGACACGUGAAAUCCUGUCUGAAGAUCGGGGGACCACCCCCGAAGGCUAAGUACUCCUUGCUGACCGAUAGCGAACCAGUACCGUGAGGGAAAGGUGAAAAGCACCCCGACGAGGGGAGUGAAACAGUACCUGAAACCGGACGCCUACAAGCAGUCGGAGGCGCCUUGAGCGGUGACGGCGUACCUUUUGUAUAAUGGGUCAACGACUUGGUCUAACGAGCAAGCUUAAGCCGAUAGGUGUAGGCGCAGCGAAAGCGAGUCUUAAAAGGGCGCAUGAGUUCGUUGGAUCAGACCCGAAACCAGGUGAUCUAGCCAUGAGCAGGAUGAAGGUUGGGUAACACCAACUGGAGGUCCGAACCAACACCCGUUGAAAAGGGUCUGGAUGACUUGUGGCUAGGGGUGAAAGGCCAAUCAAACCUGGAGAUAGCUGGUUCUCCGCGAAAGCUAUUUAGGUAGCGCCUCGGACGAAUACCUUCGGGGGUAGAGCACUGCAUGGGUGAUGGGGUCCCACAGACUUACUGAGCCUAAGCAAACUCCGAAUACCGGAGAGUACUAUCCGGGAGACACACGGCGGGUGCUAACGUCCGUCGUGAAGAGGGAAACAACCCUGACCUGCAGCUAAGGCCCCUAAUUCGUGGCUAAGUGGGAAAGCAUGUGGGACGGCCAAAACAACCAGGAGGUUGGCUUAGAAGCAGCCAUCCUUUAAAGAUAGCGUAACAGCUCACUGGUCUAGAUAAGCUGUCCUGCGGCGAAGAUGUAACGGGGCUCAAGCCACGAGCCGAAGCUCAGGAUGCAUAGCAAUAUGCGUGGUAGCGGAGCGUUCUGUGAUAUAGCUCCAUGCCUCUUGUCUUCCUUACGGGGAAGCAUGGAGGCGAGGAGCUUUCUGUGAAGCCGGGCCGUAAGGCAUCCGGUGGAGAGAUCAGAAGCGAGAAUGUUGACAUGAGUAGCGACAAAGAGGGUGAGAGACCCUCUCGCCGAAAGUCCAAGGGUUCCUGCUUAAAGCUAAUCUGAGCAGGGUAAGCCGGCCCCUAAGGCGAGGCCGAAAGGCGUAGUCGAUGGGAACCAGGUUAAUAUUCCUGGGCCAGGAGGAUGUGACGGAUCUCAAAGGUAGUUUGCCCUUAUCGGAUUGGGUGAGCUGCUCAGAGGUUCCUGGAAAUAGCCCUCCAUCAGACCGUACCCUAAACCGACACAGGUGGACUGGUAGAGUAUACCAAGGCGCUUGAGAGAACCACAUCAAAGGAACUCGGCAAAAUGCUCCCGUAAGUUCGCGAGAAGGGAGCCCCGUCUGUAGGCAACUAUGGGCGGGGGGCACAAACUAGGGGGUGGCGACUGUUUACUUAAAACACAGGGCUGUGCGAAGCCGUAAGGCGACGUAUACAGUCUGACGCCUGCCCGGUGCUGGAAGAUUAAGAGGAGGGGUGCAAGCUCUGAAUUGAAGUCCCAGUAAACGGCGGCCGUAACUAUAACGGUCCUAAGGUAGCGAAAUUCCUUGUCGGGUAAGUUCCGACCUGCACGAAUGGCGUAACGAUCUCCCCGCUGUCUCUGAUGUGGACUCAGCGAAAUUGAACUGUGUGUCAAGAUGCACACUUCCCGCGGUUAGACGGAAAGACCCCAUGAACCUUUACUCCAGCUUUGCACUGGCAUCAGGAUUGUGAUGUGCAGGAUAGGUGGU
rnacentral:rRNA from 1 species